rnacentral:tRNA from 1 species
GGAUAUGGCGAAAUUGGUAGACGCUACGGACUUGAUUGGAUUGA